rnacentral:tRNA from 1 species
UUAAUUGAAACCAAAAAAAGAGGUAUAUUACUGUUAAUAAUAUCAUUGAAAAUUAUUUCCAAUUAAA